rnacentral:rRNA from 1 species
AGAGGGUGAGACUCCCGUCCGCCUGGCAGGGUGAGUCAUUUGUCAACGAGUCGAGUUGUUUGGGAUUGCAGCUCUAAUUUGGUGGUAAAUUCCAUCUAAAGCUAAAUAUUGGUGGGAGACCGAUAGCGUACAAGUACCGUGAGGGAAAGAUGCAAAGAACUUUGAAAAGAGAGUUAAAGAGUACCUGAAACUGCUGAAACGGAAGCGAAGGAAACCAGUGUUUGUUUGUUCAUAUUUCCCUAGCCACUUGUGGCUUGGGCGCUGUGGGCUUGCGUGGGUUUACUUUGGUUGAUCCCUUUGGAAGAGCGCAGUCAGAGUUGAUGUCU